rnacentral:ribozyme from 1 species
AGCUUGCAAGUUUGAGACCAUAGCAGAAGUGCUCAUGGUGUGGCCAUGUCAGAUUCCAACAAAUCUGUGAAUUCUGCU